UGGGGAAUUUUGGACAAUGGGCGCAAGCCUGAUCCAGCAAUGCCGCGUGCAGGAUGAAGGCCUUCGGGUUGUAAACUGCUUUUGUACAGAACGAAAAGCUUUGGGUUAAUACCCGGGGGUGAUGACGGUACUGUAAGAAUAAGCACCGGCUAACUACGUGCCAGCAGCCGCGGUAAUACGUAGGGUGCAAGCGUUAAUCGGAAUUACUGGGCGUAAAGCGUGCGCAGGCGGGGAUGGAAGACAGAUGUGAAAUCCCCGGGCUCAACCUGGGACCUGCAUUAGUGACUGCAUCGCUGGAGUGCGGUAGAGGGGGAUGGAAUUCCGCGUGUAGCAGUGAAAUGCGUAGAUAUGCGGAGGAACACCGAUGGCGAAGGCAAUCCCCUGGGCCUGCACUGACGCUCAUGCACGAAAGCGUGGGGAGCAAACA
rnacentral:rRNA from 1 species